AUUUCCUCUCUGUCAGCUCCCUCCCUUUCCUUUUUCUCUAAGUUUUCUCUGCUAUAGGUUGCAACUUUUUUUUGGUAUCAAAGCUAUGGCUAACGUCUCUUCAAAUACCAGUGGGUCUUUUAAUAGUCCUACCUUUUAGUAGCCCUCCAUUAAAUCAUAGUCAUCAAGCUUGACCGGAACAAUUUUUUGUGGAAAAAUUUAGCUCUCUCCACCUUGAGAAGUUACCACCUAGAGGGCCACUUGACGGGAGAAACCUUAUACCCUCCCAUGUUUUCUUAGCCAACAACAGCCGACCAACCGGUGGCACCAGCUCCAGUCGCAACCCCACAUGAGGCAACCUCUGAAAUGACGUAUGAAGCGUUGAGUUCCUUUGUUGCCUCCCUUGUAACUGUGAAUCCCUUAUAUGAGUCUUGGGUUGCCACAGACCAACUCUUAUUGGGUUGACUCUAUAACUCCAUGACAGUCGAAGUUGCUACUCAAGUCAUGGGUCAUGAGAAUGCCAACAAUUUGUGGACUCUAUUCAAGAGCUUUCUGGAAUCCAGUCAUGAGCAGAAGAAGACUAUCUUAUGAAAAUGAAUGAGUAUAUAUACCUGUUAUAAAAAAUCAUGCAGAUAAAUUAGAACUCACCGAAAGUCCCAUUAUACUUCGACCUCUCAUUUCUCAAAUCCUAAUCAGACUAGAUGAAGAAUUCAACCCCAUCGUGGCCUCGAUCCAUGGACGAACAAGCAUUAAAUGGCCUGAUUUUCAGUCUGAGCUCUUGAGUUUUGAGAAACGCCUUGAGAUUCAAAAUUCUAGCAAGUCGGACACCCUUGGCAACUCUUCAUCCGUUAACCUCUCAACAAGCAGUGGCUCAAAUGUCAGUAGGAACAAGCAACAAUAAAAUCCCACCAAUAAUAGUCCUCCUCAGCAAAAUAAUGGAUAAAAAGGAACUGGUCGUGGAAGAGGAAGAGGACGUUGGAAUGGUGGCAACAGCCGACCAACCUGCCAGUAUUGUUUUAAACAAGGACACACUGCCUUAACUUGUUACAUGCUAUUCAACGAAGGGUUUCCUCCAAACCAAAACAAUGUUCCACUCAACCGAGCACAAGAUGUCGGUUGGUAUAUGGACAGUGGAACUUUAAAUCAUGUCACCGAAGAUCCCAACAACAUGAACUAUGCUACUAAAUAUGGAGGUAUUGAAAAGGUUAUUGUUGGUAAUGGUUGUUCUUUACCUAUUUCUCACACUAGUUUAUGUUCAUUAGUUACAUUUAUAACACGUAUAGUAUACAUCAUACUAAUUUAACAUUUAUAAUAAAGUAUGAUGCAUGGACAUGUUACUA